CUUGCACAGCCUGCACGGCGUUCUUUGACCUGAAGUCAGCGACGUGAACGAUCACACAGGUGGAAGUGAAAGUAUUUUCACCAGACUUGUGACGUUGGCGUACACGAUCAAAGAUUAUGGUGAACCCCAGCGCUAAACCACGUGAGGCACCAAGUAUGAAGCCGGCCUUUGAUCCAGACUGAAGUACUCCAUGGAAUAACAAAUGAACAGAUUAUGAUGUGAUCAACGGAGGCAUCCCCACAUGUGGCAGGUGUUCUCCGUCACAUCAAUGACCAUUGUUGGAAUCUGAAGUCGGCCAUAUUCUCUGAAGACCUGCUGAGCGGGUGUAAGGUGUCCCGAAACUAACUAAGAUUGGGCCACUAAGAUUUGGAGGACUUCGAAUCUGCUCUGGACUCUGGGUCAGGGUUGAGGAUGUUAAACUCGAAAGGAUUUUGAGUUUGUAAUUCCUACUAGAUAUUCGUGGUGAGAUUAUGCAUUGGGAAAUGCUAAAUUAGAUCAUCCUCUUUUAUAUGAACGGGGCAUUUGCAUGAUACAGGCUCAAAUUAUGCAAUGUAUCCAUACAGUAUAUUGUUUUCUAUCCAUUUUGUUUGUUGCAGUGCACUUCAUUUAUAGAUACAGAAAUAAAAUGGACACUUGUGUUACAGCCUCUUUUUAUAUGAGAUGAUUCAUAUUAACCUGAUGUAUGCAAAUGUUAAAAUUAAUAAUUUAAGUGAAUUAAAUUUGGUGCAAAUGUGUGCUAUGCUUCAAUAGUGUCACUUACGUAAGGUCAAUUUAUGUUUUGCAAAGGUAAAUAAACUAAUGUGUAUAAAU